GUUUCUAACCUAUCUUGAUUGUAUCAUGAGAUCUAAUAGUUAGAUCUAGAAUUUCAGCAUCGAUAUGAUCGAUGCGAGUAUUUGUUUUCAGAUCUAGAGUGCAUCAUAUUUCAUAUAUUUUAUCAUGACAUGGUAGUCUAGAUUAGAUCUAAUAUAUAUGAUUUAGAUUAAAUAGUUUAAUCUUACUCUUUCAUUGAAUAAAAAUUUUGAAAUUGUAUGCAUAGCACUACCUAUAUUUCCUUCAGU
rnacentral:lncRNA from 1 species